AGACCAUAUAAAAGGUCUCAUACCCCAAGGAUCCAGACAGACACCUGCAACAUUUCCUAUCACAAGUGAUCCUGCUAACGUUUUGGAACUCUACACUCGACAGAUAUCAAGAUGUGCUCCCGCAACGACAGAGGAUGCCACAACGUUCCCCGGGACAACUCCUGCCACAGGGGUGGAAGUUCCUGCCAGGACCAGGGCUCUUGCACAAAGCCCGUUCCGGGUUGCCAACAGCAACCUCCCGUGGUGUGCCCCCCUCCCGUGGUGUGCCCCCCUCCCGUGGUGUGUCCUCCACCUCCAUGCAAGCAGGAGCCUCCUGUGUUGUGCCCACCUCCUGUGAUUUGCCCACCACCUUGCCAGCAGCAGCAGCAGGUCAAGCAACCCCCCCAGUGGCCACCCCAGCAGCAGAAGUAGAGAAGACACGACUCCUGAGGAAGAGGUGCUUGGCAGCUGAAGGGCAACAUGCUCAGUUCUGAGUCAUCUGUGGCUGAAAGAAAGGAAACGUGAACCUGCUGUGUGUCUUUCUCCCUGCAUAAAAAUAUAACAGAUAUCUUCUCUGGCUGGUGCUCAAAUCCCUAUGCCUUUUAUCCUGCUUGAUACAUAAUUUGUGAAAAUGUUACCAAUUUGUGGCUUUGGCCCUUGUAUGGGCAACAG